UACGGGAGGCAGCAGUGGGGAAUAUUGCACAAUGGGCGAAAGCCUGAUGCAGCUAUGCCGCGUGUAUGAAGAAGGCCUUAGGGUUGUAAAGUACUUUCAUCGGGGAGGAAAAAACAAAACUAAUAAUUUUAUUUCUUGACGUUACCCGAAAAAGAAGCACCGGCUAACUCCGUGCCAGCAGCCGCGGUAAUACGGAGGGUGCUAGCGUUAAUCAGAAUUACUGGGCGUAAAGAGCACGUAGGUGGUUUUUUUAAGUCAGAUGUGAAAUCCCUGGGCUUAACCUGGAACUGCAUUUUGAAACUGAAAUACUAGAGUAUCGUAGAGGGAGGUAGAAUUCUAGGUGUAGCGGUGAAAUGCGUAGAUAUCUGGAGGAAUACCUGUGGCGAAAGCGGCCUCCUAAACGAAUACUGACACUGAGGUGCGAAAAGCGUGGGGAGCAAAACAGGGAUUAGGAUACC
rnacentral:rRNA from 1 species